rnacentral:lncRNA from 1 species
AAAAUAUUCUAAUCAUAAAAAAUUGAGAUUAUAUAUAUAUAUAUAUAUAUAUAUAUAUAUAUAUAUAUAUAGCAGAAUUACUAUGCUCUCAGGAGCACGAAAGUCUCCGUGCUCCCGAGUCAUUUUCGAUGAUGGAAUUUUCGAAUCGACGAUCGGAUCUGUUAAACUUGAUCUAGCGUAUUUGAAGUUUCUAGAAAAUAUUUUUUGCGAUUUUUCGAUAUCAUUUACCUAGUGAUCGAAAGGAUUCAAAAUCAAUAAUUUUUAAUGAUUGAUAUCUACCGUUUUCAAGUUUAACGGUAUAGAAAUAUUCAAAUCAGGUAAAAUUUUGAUACAAAAUUUUUUAUACUAUCUAAAACAAGAUCAAUAUUUUUGAUCGAUAUCUGAGUCCUUUUUGGAAACUCGUAAGCCUCCGUGCUCCUGAGCCGAAGGCUUCCAUGCUCCUGAGCACAGUAAGUCCUGCUCUAUAUAUGCUCUCAGGAGCACGGAGGCUUUCGUGCUCCGGAGACGUUUUGAUGAUGGAAUUUUCGAAUCGACGAUCGGCUCCGCUAUGCUUGAUCUAGCGUAUUUGAAGCUUCUAGAAAAUGAUUUUUAUGAUUUUUCGAUAUCAUUUAACUAGCAAUCGAAAGGAUUUAAAAUCAAUAAUUUUUAACGGCUGAAAAUAAAAAUCCUAUAAAAAGUGGUGAUAUAGCACUAAAAUUUUCGAUUAAAAAUAUUGAUCUUGUUGUAGAUAGUAUAACAAAUUUUGUAUCAAAAUUUUAUAUGAUUUGAAUACUUCUACACCGUUAAACUUGAAAACGGCAGAUAUCAAUACUUAAAAAUUAUUGAUUUUGAAUUUUUUCGAUCACUAGGUAAAUGAUAUCAAAAAAUCGCAAAAAUUAUUUUCUAGAAACUUCAAAUACCCUAGAUCAAGUCUCAAGGAACCGAUCAUCGAUUCGAAAGUUUCAUCAUCGAAAACGGCUCAGGAGCACGGNCCACACCCCCCCCUCUCUCUCUCUCUCUCUCUCUCUCUCUCUCUCUCUCUCUCUCUCUCUAUAUAUAUAUAUAUAUAUAUAUAUAUAUAUAUAGUGUAGAUGUAUAAAUAGUAUUGCGGUAAAAAUAAUAUGCUAUUUGUAUACUCGGUCUACCAUAGUAAAAUUUAAAGGCCUAUUUAUCUUAGGAUUAUUAUUUUUGUCUUUGUUCUAUCAAUUUGGUUUUAGAUUUUAUAAAUUUUAUGAUGAAAAAAAAUAUAAAGAUUUAUAUUUAUAUGUAAGUAUGCAAGUCUGUUUUCAACGAGAAAUCACAUAGAUGUGAUAUUUUAGAUUGUAUAUAUAAAAAAAUAAAAAAAUAUUUAUAUUACAUAUUGUAACAUACCACAAGUAUUUUAUAAGAUAAUUAUAUACCAACAUUUUUAGGGACUUGCUGCUGUGUUUUUCUUUUUCUCCUAAUAUGUAAGAAGAAUAUAUGCUGUCAACAUAUUUCUUUUCUUUUUCUGCACGAGGCAUUUGUGAAUUCUUGUAUACUAAAUUCUCAAAGCAGUGUGGUUAGCAAGUUCUCCGAAGAGAAAUGCUUGUUUUAAAUUCUAUAAAAUAUUAUUUUAUAGAUUAUAGUAUAUUAAUUAACUUAUAUACCACUUUUAAGAAAUAGCACGAAUAAAUUAAAAAAACUUUUAUGUUAUGAGUUAUAAUAUAUCAAUAACAUGAAGAAUAACAUGAGUUGAGCUUCUGUACUUUUAAAAACACGCAUAAGAGCAUUUUCGGUAGGCAUUAUUAGCGGUGUGCUCCGUCAAAUUUUUUAUUAGUAUUGUACAAAUAUUGAGAUGAUUCGAUAAAUUAAAAUAUCACAAACAUGUUGAGCUCCCAUACUUUUAACAGUAUAGUAGCUACGAAAUAGUUUUUUUUAAGAAAAAACUGCAUACUACCAGCUUCAUUCAUUAGCAGUAUGAAUUAUACUAUACAGGUAAGAUAAUAUAUCUCAAUGGAAAUAAAAAAAUAAAAUAAAAUUAGAAUUAAAAUUAAAAUUAAAAAUAAUAGCAAAACAAAAAAAAAGUGAUGGCGAUAGAGCUACUUUGCCACGAAAUAGUAUUUUUUAAAUAAUAUUUGAUUGAUUGGCGGCACUUCUAAUUUAUAAUACCUUUAAAAAAAUGAUAGUUACAUUCUCAUUUUCUCCCUCUUUUUACUGCUAGAGAGCAUUUGGAUCGACAAAUGUGUGGUUAGAACGUUUUAUUGAAAAUGAAAAUACCAGUUUUGUCAAUCUUUGCGUAGACAUUUUAAAAAAAAUAAAAUCUUAUAACCAAUCAUAAAAUUGAAUUCUCAAAAUUAUUUUUAUAAAUAAUUUAAAUUUAAAAUUAUUUUGUAUAAAAAGGUUAAAACUUAGUUUAUAACCGAAUAACAAUUUUUUUAUAUUAUAUCAAUUAAUAAUAAAAAGACUAAUUUGCAUAACAAAUUCAUAAGUAUUGAGCUUUUGUAAAACCGGGCCACCAUUUUUAAUUUUGCAGAUUCGGUCCGAAUUUUCAACAAAUUAACCAUAAUACUCUUAUCCCUAUUUUUUUUCCUUUUCGAUCCUUCUCCACCCGCUGUCUCCAUUGCCGCCGCUGGCGACAAAGAAGAAAUACUUCUCGGGGCCCAGAAGCACACCGGCGAGGAAAGAGGAGAAAAGUAGUUACACUCCGGCGAGAACUAUGGUUGCGAUAAAGAGUAAGAGAGAGGUCGUGACAAAAAAAAUAUAUAAAGAGAAAGAAAAUAAGAAUAAUAAAAAAUAAAAAAAAAUUUCUACAAAAAAAACCAAAAAUUAUAGAAAAAUGAAGAAAUUGCACUGUUAAAAUAAAGUUAUAUUGUUUAAAAAAAAAUUUGCACUCUUUGAAAUAAAAAUUAUAUUUUUUAGGAUGAGAGUUACACUCUUUAGUCGAAAAUUAUACUAGUUGGGUGAAAUUUACACUAUUUCUUAUCCUCAUCUUCUUCUUCUUACUUCUUCCCCUCCGUUUUCUCGUCCUCCUCCUCCUUCUUCCUCCUCUACCUUCUUUGGCGUCGUCGCCGUCAAGCACCCAUCGCAUCGCCGCCCCCUUCUUUGCUGGCGCCCAUGCCCGACAAGGUCGAGAGCGAGAUAAGCAUCCUCUUCUCCCUCUGCGGGCCCCAUCUCGUCAACCUCCUCUGCUUCUGCCGCGAGCCUUGCGAGGCAGCGCCGCGCGGUGAGGUCUGCGUCGGUGUCGGCGGUGUCAAUGGUGUUCUUCGGCGGGAAACUUCUGGGAGGGGUGGAGAAUGUGCCGUCAUGCCACCUCAACGGCUCUCUCGUCCCCCUCCUCAAAUAAGCAGGGGCUCCCGCGUGUGCGUUGGCGGAAAAGGGGGGCGACUACGCGAGGGGCGCUUGACAAUAACGGUGACAGAGAAGGUGGAGGAGGAAGAAGAAGGAGUAGGAUGAGAAAGCGAAGGGGAAGGUGGAGGAGGAAGAAGAAGAGAAUGAGAAAUUGUGUAAAUUCAUCCAAAUAGUAUAAUUUUUGUCUAAAAAGUGUAACUUAUAUUCCAAAUAGUAUAAUUUUUAUCUUAAAGAGUGCAACUUUUAUCUCAAAUAUUACAAUUUUUUUUUUCUUUAUUUUAACAGUGCAAUUUCAUCAUUCUCUUACUUCUUCUAUAAUUUUUGAUUUUUUUGUAAGAAAUUUAUUUAUUAUUUAUUAUUUAUUAUUUUUUUAUUUUUUUCUCUAUAAUUUUUUUCUUCACGACCUCUCCCUUGCCAUUUAUUGUAGUCACCGCCAUCACCGGAGUGUAACUAUUUUUCUCUCCCUCCCUCGCUGUCGUGCUUUUCAGCCUUGAAAAGCACUUUCUUUUUGUUGCCAGCGGCGACGGCAGGGACGACGGGUGGAAGACGGUUGGAGAGGAAAAAAAAAAAGGUCGCGGCAUGAUCUCGGCGGGGUCGGAGGUGAGGAGGGUGGAGGGUGCGGAGGCGAGUGCGAGAGCGUUAGGGGCAGAGAUGAGGGGGUCCGUUUCCGCCUCCGACUCCGUAGGCUUCUUCGGCGAGAAAAAAUAAGAACGCGAGAAAAAAAAGAAGAGAAGAAAAAAUAUAAAUAUAUUUUCGUUAGUUUACUGAAAAUUUGGACUGACUCUGUAAAAAAAUAAAAAAAAGGCCUAAGUUUGCAAAAAGUUAAAAACUUAUAGAUUUUUUUAUACAAAUUGACGUAAUAAAAAUAAUAUUUUUUAUUAAAUUUAAUUUAUUACUCAAUUAUAAUUACGCGAAUCCAAACGUACACUUCAAUGUGCCACAGCCAUAUCCCUACAAGUCAUAGGUUUAGAGCUACACUACCCCUAUACCAUUCAAACGUUGACCGCUUUGCUGAUCACUCCACAACCUCAUAGAUGCAGAUGCAUCGAGAGAGAGCAAGAGUACUUUUAGUAAAGUUAAAAACAGUUGGAGCAGAUCAAAGAGAAAUGAAUAAAACGAAAUAAAAAAAAUCACUAUUACUUUAGUAAUAUUAAAAAAUAAUAAAACUAGUAUAUAUAUAUAUAUAUAUAUAUAUAUAUAUAUAUAUAUAUAUAUAUAUAUAUAUAUAUAUUAUUUUCAAUGAUAAAGAUUUCGAAUUUACGUUUCAUAUUAUUAAAUAUUAUCUAAAAUAUUUAAAAUUUUAAGAAAUCAAAUUUAACAAAUUUUCGACAUCAUUUAUUUAUGAUCGAAAGGUUACAAAAUUGAUAAUUUUUAACGGUAGAUAUAGAAUACUUGCUAGUUUAACAAUAUAAAAGAAUUAGAAUAGAUUAAAGUUUUGAUAAAAAAAUUUAUUUACUAUAUAAAUAUAGAUCAAUAAUUCUGAUCUUAAAUUGAAGGAUCCGAUUAUCUAUCUUUAGGACGCCGUUCGAUUUUGAUUGUUCAUUUUAUGUCCAAUUGAUAGACUUUAUUAUGAUUUUGUAAAAUUACAAAAUUUAUUUUUUAGAAGUUUCAAAUAUUUUAGGUCAUAUAUAACGAGUUGGAUCGACGAUACAGAAGCUCUAUUAUAAAAAAUAACUUAUGAAUACAAAUGACUCUAUAUUCGUAAAAGUACGACAAUCAUACUCUUUAUCUCUAUAUUAGUUUUUUGACCAAUAAUAAAAUAUAAAACACUUACUUUUUGUGUAUACAGUUGCUUUAGAGAGAGAGAGAGAGAGAGAGAGAGAGAGAGAGAGAGAGAGAGAGAGAGAGAGAGAGAGAGAAGGGAGAAGUCACCCUUAUCCCCACACAUGAAGCAUAUAUGGUUCGGUUAAUGGACGGUUAUAGGAGACCGUUUGUGGUCCUCGGUCUCUACAGUGCCUUCUCUUUCGUAUGCUCCGCACGAACACACACCACCCCUUAAAAAACUCUACCACGUAAAAAAAUAAAAAUAAAAAUAAUAAUUAAUUUAUAUUUUCCUUUAUAUAUUUACUAAUUUUGCUUUACGCCUCGCCUGGAACUGAGCUCCCACCAGUACCAUUACUCCAGCUUAUGCCUUAUAGUUAGGCUUUGAAUAACCCAGAUGAACCUGUUUCCGCUGUACCUCGCGAACAACUUAUUCCCCACACUUCAGAAUCUGCAAAAUAAAUUGCUGUUUUUGCUUUAAAAAAUAUUAAUUUUACCGGUGAGAUCGAAUUACUCUUUGAAAAUUUGUCUUUAACGUUGUUCUAUUAAUUUUUUUUAGUCAAUAUAUUAUCAACUGACUCAAAUUAAAUAAAUUAGAAAAUUAAAUAAUAAAAUUAAAAUUUUAAAAAAAUUAGGUAGCCGAUUAAAAAUAAUUUAUAAUUUAAAUAAAUUUUAAAAAUUUAAAUAGCAAAAGUGUUGUACGGCGUAAAACAGAGGAUUGCUCACACUUCACAGCCGACCAGGGUGAGAUGUUAAGAAGGUGCAGCAGAAGAGUAGAGAGUGGUGGCGGUCGUGGUGGAGGUGGUCAAGGCGUCUCAUUUUUCAUACUUGGCAUUGCCUGUCGUACGCUGCUGCCCGGGGCCGACGCGAGAUCGGGGCCGUCCAUCAAACCCCGCUCCUCCUCCUCCUGCGCUCCCGCCCAUACGCCGUCCGACACGUGGCGGAAUGUCAUGUCGCUGUUAAUGAUGAUGGGACGGCUAUAAAUUCGGGCGGCCCCCUCUCCUCUUUUUGUUCUCUCUCUCUCUCUCUCUCUCUCUUUUCUACUCCGCACUCUUAUCCCUCCCCUUAAUUUUCGCUCUUGGGAACUCACCACUACUACCUCUCUCUCUCUCUCUCCAUAAAAAAAAAACCCAGCCACCAUUUUCUUAUUAUUAUUAUUAUUAUUAUUAUUAUUAUUAUAUU